CGUACAAACCUUAUCGAUAAACAAUUGGAGGGCAAGUCUGGUGCCAGCAGCCGCGGUAAUUCCAGCUCCAAUAGCGUAUAUUAACGUUGUUGCAGUUAAAAAGCUCGUAGUUGAAAUGAAGGGUAGUUGUGUAAUGAAUACAUUCGUGUAUUUUGUUAUUCUACUACCCUCCUUCUAAAUUCGAUAUAUGAGUAUUAAUUUACUUGUAUAUGGUUUUAGACGUUUACUGUGAGAAAAUUAGAGUGUUCAAAGCAGGCAUUUGCUUGAAUAUAUUAGCAUGGAAUAAUCAUGUAUGAUUUUCAUGAUGUAUUUGAUUGGUUUGGUUCAUGAGAAUAAGAUUAAAAGGGACAGUUGGGGGUAUUCAUAUUCAAUAGUCAGAGGUGAAAUUCUCGGAUUUAUGGAAGAUGAACAAGUGCGAAAGCAUUUACCAAGGAUGUUUUCAUUAAUCAAGAACGAAAGUUAGGGGAUCGAAGAGGAUUAGAUACCCUCGU
rnacentral:rRNA from 1 species